rnacentral:lncRNA from 1 species
AGAGUAACUUCAGCUGUUUUUAUCAUAGGGAGACUUAGCAGAAAAUAGCUUCCCCUACUGCUGUGCUAGAUGAGAUGGAGGGGUGCAGUCACAUAAAGGAGACCCGAAGUCACAGGAAGAGGAUUUUUCUCAGCAGACUGAUGAUGGCAGGAAGGUGAAAUAAAAAGAGAAAGGUAUCAUUUCUGCUCCAGUCUUUAUCUACUUGGCUGAGAAAACCAAGAUAUUACAAGCAUUCCCAUCAAGAUACUGAAAAUUACCUCUACCUUGGGACCAUGUAGAAAAAGAUUCAGUGACAAAUGCCAAGAAAAUAAACUAUAUUAUGAAAGACUUUGAGGAACUUUGAGAUUGCGGAGCAGUGUGGAACACUUUGAACUGUGCUAAGAAGACUCACUUUCAUUUCAAGAUUUUCCUCCAGCGAAUUAAUUUAUUUCAUAUAGGACAGAAGACAUGUUAUAGGUUCUUGCUACAUACGCCGUCUGCUAACUUCAGACCAAAAUACAGCAUGGAGGAGAGGCUGCGAGGAAAAAUGAAAAUUGAAGACCUGGACAGAAUGUUUAAAAGGGGAUAAGAAAAGCAAAUACUAUUUCCCCCAAAGUGUGAUGAGUUCAUGUCCAAAAGCCCCUGUUCCACUCAUGGCCCGGCUGUCUUAGGCACCGGUAGCAGCUGCCACUCUAGUUGCUCAGUUUGCCUUGUGGUGCUGGUGUUUACUGAAGGGCUAGAAAUAUUAUUAUUUUUUAUAUAUUUUUUAUGCCUUAUGACACCACUGAAAUUUUAAAAUAAAGAGAAUUCUGAUUCUGAGUUGAAUUCAAUGAGAUUUUCCUGCUUCAUCUUCCUUUUUAAAUUCUGAGACUGAAGGGACAAAAACUUUAAAAGGAAUGCUUGCCCUCUUCUUAUUUGGAUUUAACAAAUCUAAGAAUGUCAAGAAUAUCCUGAAAAAUAUCUUGUUACAAUAUUUUAAAAUGAUGGCAGGUUUUUGUGUUUCUGUUGUUGUUGUUGUUUGUUUGCUUGCUUUUUUUGUGUGUUUUUU